ensembl:snRNA U6 U6 spliceosomal RNA
GUGUUCUCUUCGGCAGCACAUGUACUAAAAUUGAAACAAUACAGAGAAGGUUAGUAUGGUCCCUGUGCAAGGAUAACACAAAAUAUAAAAGCAAUAAAGUAGU